AUACUCUGGUUUCUCUUCAAAUCGUAUAAAUCUUUCGCCUUUUACUAAAGAUUUCCGUGGAGAGAAACACUUUUGAGUCUUACAUCAAAUUUUUUGAGGCCUUGUGUUAUGCGAGGCU
ensembl:snRNA U5 U5 spliceosomal RNA